rnacentral:rRNA from 1 species
GACGAACGCUGGCGGCGUGCCUAAUACAUGCAAGUCGAGCGGACUGAAUGGGAGCUUGCUCUUGUUCGGUCAGCGGCGGACGGGUGAGUAACACGUGGGCAACCUGCCCGCAAGACCGGGAUAACUCCGGGAAACCGGAGCUAAUACCGGAUAACACCGAAGACCGCAUGGUCUUUGGUUGAAAGGCGGCGCAAGCUGCCACUUGCGGAUGGGCCCGCGGCGCAUUAGCUAGUUGGUGAGGUAACGGCUCACCAAGGCGACGAUGCGUAGCCGGCCUGAGAGGGUGACCGGCCACACUGGGACUGAGACACGGCCCAGACUCCUACGGGAGGCAGCAGUAGGGAAUCUUCCGCAAUGGGCGAAAGCCUGACGGAGCGACGCCGCGUGAGCGAAGAAGGCCUUCGGGUCGUAAAGCUCUGUUGUGAGGGACGAGGGAGCGCCGUUUGAAGAAGGCGGCGCGGUGACGGUACCUCACGAGGAAGCCCCGGCUAACUACGUG